UUGGCACUAAUAUAUUUUUAAAAAAAGGAAGUCAUAACAUAAAGCAAGAUAUUAAUGCAACCUAAACAUGUGGAUUUUAAGGCCGUUUAACAAAAUUGAAUAACAAGGAUAAACAUUCUUUCUCUUUAUUUAUUUAUUUAUGAAAUAUAAAGAGAAGAAGAAAAACAAAUCAUCAAAUAAGAGUUGGCUAAACAUAUAGUUCUUUUUUUACCUAGC
rnacentral:lncRNA from 1 species